GAUGAACGCUGGCGGCGUGCCUAAUACAUGCCAGUCGAGCGAACGGACGAGAAGCUUGCUUCUCUGAUGUUAGCGGCGGACGGGUGAGUAACACGUGGAUAACCUACCUAUAAGACUGGGAUAACUUCGGGAAACCGGAGCUAAUACCGGAUAAUAUUUUGAACCGCAUGGUUCAAAAGUAAAAGACGGUCUUGCUGUCACUUAUAGAUGGUUCCGCGCUGCAUUAGCUAGUUGGUAAGGUAACGGCUUACCAAGGCAACGAUGCAUAGCCGACCUGAGAGGGUGAUCGGCCACACUGGAACUGAGACACGGUCCAGACUCCUACGGGAGGCAGCAGUAGGGAAUCUUCCGCAAUGGGCGAAAGCCUGACGGAGCAACGCCGCGUGAGUGAUGAAGGUCUUCGGAUCGUAAAACUCUGUUAUUAGGGAAGAACAUAUGUGUAAGUAACUGUGCACAUCUUGACGGUACCUAAUCAGAAAGCCACGGCUAACUACGUG
rnacentral:rRNA from 1 species